GGGGAUGAUCGGUUUCGACACUGCAGUGCUUUUCGUGAAAGAAGCGGGUCGAGGAUGAGCACUUAUCUCGUAAACGAUGUGUUCAAAACUAUAGGUGCCAAUACAAAGCGCGCCGACUUCGCCCUAGCUGCUUAAGCUAGCCCCGAAGUCCGUCUGACUAAGUUUGAUUUCGGCUUAGACCCAGGCGUCAUUUAGGAAUCUCGCUGGUUCUGUGUGUUGCAGGCAGAACCGGGACUUUAACUGUGACUGGGCUUGUCGAUGUAGUUGCUUCAGACAAACAUCGGAGCCAAGUAGAACGCCUUAUGAAGCUACACCCGUAGAAGGGUCACGAUCGUUGUAGUGGACCCGGGUUCGAUUCCCGGCAUCUCCACCA
rnacentral:tmRNA from 1 species